CAGUAGCCACGGUAAUACGUGGGGUGCGAGCGUUAAUCGGAAUUACUGGGCGUAAGCGUGCGCAGGCGGUUGUGUAAGACAGGUGUGAAAUCCCCGGGCUUAACCUGGGAACUGCGCAUGUGACUGCACAGCUAGAGUAUGGCAGAGGGGGGUGGAAUUCCACGUGUAGCAGCGAAAUGCGUAGAGAUGUGGAGGAACACCGAUGGCGAAGGCAGCCCCCUGGGCCAAUACUGACGCUCAUGCACGAAAGCGUGGGGAGCAAACAGGAUUAGAUACCCGCGUAGUCCCUGUCUCUUAUACA
rnacentral:rRNA from 1 species